rnacentral:rRNA from 1 species
UGCCAGCCGCCGCGGUAAUACGAGGGGGGCUAGUGUUGUUCGGAAUUACUGGGCGUAAAGGGAGCGUAGGCGGAAGUUUAAGUCAGAUGUUUAAUCCCGGGGCCUAACCCCGGGGCCGCAUUUGAAACUGAAUUUCUUGAGUUUGGUAGAGGUGGACGGAAUUCCGGGUGUAGCGGUGGAAUGCGUAGAUAUCCGGAAGAACACCGUUUGCGAAGGCGGUCCACUGGGCCAAUACUGACGCUGAGGCUCGAAAGUGUGGGGAGCGAACAGGAUUAGAUA